rnacentral:rRNA from 1 species
UACAGAGGGUGCGAGCGUUGUUCGGAAUUAUUGGGCGUAAAGGGCGCGUAGGCGGCUUGAUAAGUCAAAGGUGAAAUCCCUCGGCUCAACUGAGGAACUGCCUUUGAAACUGUCGGGCUUGAGGCCGGGAGGGGAUAGCGGAAUUCCCAGCGUAGCGGUGAAAUGCGUAGAUACUGGGAGGAACACCAGUGGCGAAGGCGGCUAUCUGGACGGUUUCUGACGCUAAGACGCGAAAGCUAGGGGAGCAAACCGG